AGGGAUGACGGCCUUCGGGUUGUAAACCUCUUUCAGCAGGGAAGAAGCGAAAGUGACGGUACCUGCAGAAGAAGCGCCGGCUAACUACGUGCCAGCAGCCGCGGUAAUACGUAGGGCGCAAGCGUUGUCCGGAAUUAUUGGGCGUAAAGAGCUCGUAGGCGGCUUGUCACGUCGGAUGUGAAAGCCCGGGGCUUAACCCCGGGUCUGCAUUCGAUACGGGCUAGCUAGAGUGUGGUAGGGGAGAUCGNANUUCCUGGUGUAGCGGGUGAAAUGCGCAGAUAUCAGGAGGAACACCGGUGGCGAAGGCGGAUCUCUGGGCCAUUACUGACGCUGAGGAGCGAAAGCGUGGGGAGCGAACAGGAUUAGAUACCCUGGUAGUCCAAGGGCGAAUUC
rnacentral:rRNA from 1 species